rnacentral:rRNA from 1 species
UACGUAGGUGGCAAGCGAUACUCGGAAUCACUAGGCGUAAAGCGCAGGUAGGCGGCUCGAUAAGUCUCUUGUGAAAGCUCCCGGCUCAACUGGGAGAGGUCAAGGGAAACUGUUGGGCUAGAGUGUGGUAGAGGAAACUGGAAUUCCCGGUGUAGCGGUGAAAUGCGUAGAGAUCGGGAGGAACACCAGAGGCGAAGGCGACGAACUGGACAGUCACUGACACUCAACUACGAAAGCGUGGGUAGCAAACAGG